AAAUUGAAGAGUUUGAUCAUGGCUCAGAUUGAACGCUGGCGGCAGGCCUAACACAUGCAAGUCGAACGGUAACAGGAAGCAGCUUGCUGCUUUGCUGACGAGUGGCGGACGGGUGAGUAAUGUCUGGGAAACUGCCUGAUGGAGGGGGAUAACUACUGGAAACGGUGGCUAAUACCGCAUAACGUCGCAAGACCAAAGAGGGGGACCUUCGGGCCUCUUGCCAUCAGAUGUGCCCAGAUGGGAUUAGCUUGUUGGUGAGGUAACGGCUCACCAAGGCGACGAUCCCUAGCUGGUCUGAGAGGAUGACCAGCCACACUGGAACUGAGACACGGUCCAGACUCCUACGGGAGGCAGCAGUGGGGAAUAUUGCACAAUGGGCGCAAGCCUGAUGCAGCCAUGCCGCGUGUAUGAAGAAGGCCUUCGGGUUGUAAAGUACUUUCAGCGGGGAGGAAGGUGUUGUGGUUAAUAACCGCAGCAAUUGACGUUACCCGCAGAAGAAGCACCGGCUAACUCCGUGCCAGCAGCCGCGGUAAUACGGAGGGUGCAAGCGUUAAUCGGAAUUACUGGGCGUAAAGCGCACGCAGGCGGUCUGUCAAGUCGGAUGUGAAAUCCCCGGGCUCAACCUGGGAACUGCAUUCGAAACUGGCAGGCUUGAGUCUUGUAGAGGGGGGUAGAAUUCCAGGUGUAGCGGUGAAAUGCGUAGAGAUCUGGAGGAAUACCGGUGGCGAAGGCGGCCCCCUGGACAAAGACUGACGCUCAGGUGCGAAAGCGUGGGGAGCAAACAGGAUUAGAUACCCUGGUAGUCCACGCCGUAAACGAUGUCUACUUGGAGGUUGUGCCCUUGAGGCAUGGCUUCCGGAGCUAACGCGUUAAGUAGACCGCCUGGGGAGUACGGCCGCAAGGUUAAAACUCAAAUGAAUUGACGGGGGCCCGCACAAGCGGUGGAGCAUGUGGUUUAAUUCGAUGCAACGCGAAGAACCUUACCUGGUCUUGACAUCCACAGAACUUUCCAGAGAUGGAUUGGUGCCUUCGGGAACUGUGAGACAGGUGCUGCAUGGCUGUCGUCAGCUCGUGUUGUGAAAUGUUGGGUUAAGUCCCGCAACGAGCGCAACCCUUAUCCUUUGUUGCCAGCGGUCCGGCCGGGAACUCAAAGGAGACUGCCAGUGAUAAACUGGAGGAAGGUGGGGAUGACGUCAAGUCAUCAUGGCCCUUACGACCAGGGCUACACACGUGCUACAAUGGCGCAUACAAAGAGAAGCGACCUCGCGAGAGCAAGCGGACCUCAUAAAGUGCGUCGUAGUCCGGAUUGGAGUCUGCAACUCGACUCCAUGAAGUCGGAAUCGCUAGUAAUCGUGGAUCAGAAUGCCACGGUGAAUACGUUCCCGGGCCUUGUACACACCGCCCGUCACACCAUGGGAGUGGGUUGCAAAAGAAGUAGGUAGCUUAACCUUCGGGAGGGCGCUUACCACUUUGUGAUUCAUGACUGGGGUGAAGUCGUAACAAGGUAACCGUAGGGGAACCUGCGGUUGGAUCACCUCCUUA
rnacentral:rRNA from 1 species